AGUGAACGCUGGCGGUAGGCCUAACACAUGCAAGUCGAACGGCAGCACAGUAAGCGCUUGCUCUUACGGGUGGCGAGUGGCGGACGGGUGAGGCAUACAUAGGCAUCUACUUUUUCGUGGGGGAUAACGUAGGGCAGCUUAUGCUAAUACCGCAUACGACCUACGGGUUGAAUCAGUGGAUCUUCGCACCUUGCGCGAUAGAUUGAGCCGAUGUCGGAUUAGCUAGUUGGCGGGGUAAAGGCCCACCAAGGCGACGAUCCGUAGCUGGUCUGAGAGGAUGAUCAGCCACACUGGAACUGAGACACGGUCCAGACUCCUACGGGAGGCAGCAGUGGGGAAUAUUGGACAAUGGGCGCAAGCCUGAUCCAGCCAUACCGCGUGGGUGAAGAAGGCCUUCGGGUUGGAAAGCCCUUUUGUUGGGAAAGAAAAACAGCAGGAUAAUACCCCGCUGUUCUGACGGUACCCAAAGAAGAAGCACCGGCUAACUUCGUG
rnacentral:rRNA from 1 species